ACCACCGCUAAAAAAUGGAUCCAUUUACAAGAUUGAUAGAACCAUAGAGGGUAAAAAACUUGGGUGUAUUCCAUGGUUGGUAGGUAUUAGAGAUGGCAAUGGGUACCCGCGACCCAAUACCCGAUGGGUAUUUACUCCAUUAGGGUAUGUAUGUGAGCUAAAUAUUCUACCCGUGGGUCUGUUAUUGGACAAAAAUCUUCACCCAAUGGGUAAACGGGUAUUAGAACGUUCCGCCUUCACCCAUACCCGUUAACCCGUGGGUAUAAAAUACCCAAUAUAAACUUAUCCGAAGCAUGAACUUGGACUUUAGUCAUCCAACUUUUUUACUAUUUAACAACAAUUUAAUGACCAUGUAAUGGAACAUGUAAUGUACUAUGUAGUACUAUCAUAGUGUUACUACUUUAUCCAAUUAUCUUUGGUGUGUUGAAUGGAUGGUUAAAUGAUGCUAGAAAUUUUUGUAAUGAUAUUUAUAUGGAUAUACUUGUCAUUUGUAUAAUAUAAUUUUUUGAUAGUUGUUUAAUUUUUGUGGGUACGGGUGACCCGAUGGGUGACCUAUACCCACAUGGGUAUGGGUAUGGGGGUAAAUCCAUACCCGCAAGUGUAUAUGGGUGAUCCGGUGGAGUUAUUUUUGUGUCGUGAGUAUGGGUAUGGGGUAGUAAUACCCGAUGGGUAUUUACCCAUUGCUAGUAGGUAUAGGUACAAGCAUAUCCAACAUUCUAGUUAUACAGAGAUCAACACUGAUCGGCAAGAGUUCACUGCAGCUACGGUGCAAGUGCAAGAGCAACGAGCAAUAUAGUAAUGGUUAAAGAACGGCAGUACUGACUUGCAC
rnacentral:lncRNA from 1 species